GCAUAAAACACAAGAAUCUCUCGGCCGCUUCUUUCUUCCGCCGUCUCUUCUCCAGAUCUUUCCACCAUCUUCGUUUCUCUCUCUCUGUUCCUUUAAUCAUCCUUUUCUUCCAUAUUUUUUUUCGUGCAUUCUUGUUCUCGUCAGAUCUUACCGUCUCUUCUUGUCAGAUCUUGCAUUUUUUUUUUUGAAAAUAGACAACGAGUACACUAUCUGUUCUUGUCGGAUCUUUUUUUUUUGUUGCUUUUUUUCCCUUUUCUGAUUGCUACUACUAUUUUGUUGUUUAUGAGGAUUAUGUUAUUCUUUUUAAUUUUUAGAUUUUUUAUUUCUGUAGCUUGGAUGAGCCCGUGAGGUGGGGUUUCAAAGAUUUCCACUUUAUUGAUGCAAGAAUUGGAUGUUGGGUACUAGCACUUGAAGAUAUAUGCUUUAGAUUGAUCCUUUUACGUGCGAGGUCUGAUAGGAGUUUCUUCCGUCAGGUUGAGCAAUGUAUAAAUGAG